rnacentral:rRNA from 1 species
GGGCCAGACUCCUACGGGAGGCAGCAGUGAGGAAUAUUGGUCAAUGGGCGAGAGCCUGAACCAGCCAAGUCGCGUGAGGGAAGACGGUCCUACGGAUUGUAAACCUCUUUUGUCAGGGAGCAAGGAGCGCCACGAGUGGUGCGGCGAGAGUACCUGAAGAAAAAGCAUCGGUUAACUCCGUGCCAGCAGCCGCGGUAAUACGUAGGGGGCAAGCGUUAUCCGGAUUUACUGGGUGUAAAGGGAGCGUAGACGGCCAGACAAGUCAGAAGUGAAAGCCCAGGGCUCAACCCUGGGACUGCUUUUGAAACUGCCGGGCUGGAGUGCAGGAGAGGUAAGCGGAAUUCCUAGUGUAGCGGUGAAAUGCGUAGAUAUUCGGAGGAACACCGGUGGCGAAGGCGGCCAACUGGGCUUUAACUGACGCUGAGGCUCGAAAGUGUGGGGAGCAAACAGGAUUAGAUACCCCUGUAAA